rnacentral:rRNA from 1 species
UACGGAGGGUGCGAGCGUUGCCCGGAAUCACUGGGCGUAAAGGGCGCGUAGGCGGCCUGAUAAGUAGGGGGUGAAAUCCUGCGGCUUAACCGCAGGGCUGCCUUCUAAACUGUCAGGCUAGAGCACAGUAGAGGCAGGUGGAAUUCCCGGUGUAGCGGUGGAAUGCGUAGAGAUCGGGAAGAACAUCAGUGGCGAAGGCGGCCUGCUGGGCUGUUGCUGACGCUGAGGCGCGACAGCGUGGGGAGCAAACAGG